ensembl:lncRNA
GCGGGAAGUGACAUAGCAAAGAGACUCAUAUUUGAGCAAGAAGAAACAGGAAGCUCCUCUUUUUCCCUUUGCAUCCUCCAGGAUGUGAGCCACCGGCAAGAAAGGGUCCCAGCAAAAGGCAUCCUCUAUAAAGAUAAGUCUUAUAAUAUAUAUAGAUUUAUGAUAAUUAAGACUGAGCUAGCAGAUGAGAAGUCCUAGUCAUUGGCCAAGCAGCUUUGAACCUAAUACAACUUUCUGUGUAUUCAUUUGGGCCCUAACUCGGGAAGGCAGCUGGUGUAAAGCACACACGUGGCAGUGGGGCUUGGGUGGCUUAUGGCAGAAAGAUUUAUCGUAACACAUGGCAGAGAAAAUUUUCUUGUGUUCUAGUACCUAACCAGGUUUUAAGCACAGGACUGUAAAUGAAACCAAGACUAAUUGUAAAAUCCAGGUCUGGCUAGUGACUGAAAAUAUGUGGUAGGAUAUUUAUAAACACAAUCAUAGGUACAUUUUACAGUGGCAUUAGUAAAGGCUGGAGAAUCUGGUGGUGAAUACAACAGCAACUUUAACUGGCUUACAGGCCAAUGUCCACAAGCAUCUACUCUAUAGAACAUGUGUGUGAAUUGGAUUUCAACUGCAUUUGUAGGUGGAGCCUGUUGGUAUUCCUCUCUUUCCUAUGAAGGACAGAUGUGUUACUAGGUGAAGCAUGGUUAUUCUUCUUCCUCCCAAGAAGGGUUCUCUCCCAUGAAGUUUCACACUUCCCUAGAAAUGACUCUUUAUGAUCAAUAUUUAUCACUUAAUAAUAAUUAAUUUUAUUCUACCUAAUGGAAAAUAUAUUAUUUUCUUCUUCUUCUUUAAUAUAAGGAACCUGAAAUGAGAAGCAACCCAUAAACUUGAGAAUCAAGUCUCCUAUGCUUCACUUUCUUUAGCUGAUUCAAAAACUCACCAAGAUCAUCCCUGCUUUCACCCUUGCUGUGGUCAUUGUCUAGGGAGCCUACUCUUAGGAGGAAUUCCUAUUGUUGCAUUUAAUUCAAAUGUUACUCUUGAGAAAGGUCUUCUCAGGUCCAUUUCUACAACAGUUUUCACAUUUGCAGAAACGACAAAUGAAUCAAAAUCCAAGUAUUUAACAGCAUUCUAUAUUAGAGUCAUGGAUAACCAUAAAAUAACACCCCUUUAGCAACUUAGAAUAUUUUAUAAAAUAUUUAGAAAUACACACAUCCAUAUCUUGAAGGGACAACAAUAAAAGCUAGAGAAUCUCUUGGUAUAGUUAAUGUUGGAAAGCUUCAAAUAAAUUCCCGAUUUCAGCUCAGUGUAUAUCUGUGGAUGUCUGUCUCUGCUUCCAUCAGCCACUGAAAAAGGGCUCUAGGAUUACAUAAAGAGAAGUCAUCAAUAUCAUUUUAGGGGAAGGGCUUUUAGGUUAUCCUCUCCACCAUUGCCUGGAUUGUCAGAUCCUGUGAAGAUCUUUUCCCAUUCUGUGGGUGGUCAUUUUGUCCUACUGACUGUUUCCUUUGCCUUGCAGAAGCUUCUCAGUUUCAGGAGGUCCCAUUUAUUAAUUGCAGACCUCAAUGUCUGUGCUACUGUUGUAAUGUUCAGGAAGCGGUCUCCUGUGCCAAUUUGUUCAAGGGUAAUUCCCACUUUCUCUUCUAGAAGAUUCAGUGUGGCUGGAUUUAUGCUGAUAUCUUUGAUCCAUUUGAACUUAAGUUUUGUGCAUGAUGACAAAUAUAGAUCUAUCUGCAAUUUUCUGCAUGUCAGAAUCCAAUUGUGCCAGCACCAUUUGAUGAAGAUGCUAUCUUUUUUCCAUUGUAUAGAUUUAGCACCUUUGUUAAAAAUGAGGUAUUCAAAGGUGUGUGGGUCAAUAUCAGGGUUUUCAAUUAGAUUCCAUUGGUCUAUCUGUCUAUUUUUGUGCCAAUACCAAGCUGUUUUCAGAACUAUGGCUCUAUAGUAGAGCUUGAAGUCGGGGAUGGUGAUGCCUCCAGAAGAUCCUUUAUUGUAAAGAAUUGUUUUGGCUAUCCUGGGUUUUUUAUUUUUCCAUAUUAAGUUGAGUAUUAUUCUUUCAAUAUUGGUGAAAAACUGUGUUGGGAUUUUGAUGGGGAUUGCAUUAAAUCUGUAGAUUGCUUUUGGCAGGAUUGCCACUUUUACUAUGUUAAUUCUACCUAUCCAAGCGCAUGGGAGACCUUUCCAUUUUCUGGUAUCUUCUUUAAUUUCUUUCUUUAAAGUCUCAAAGUUCUUAUUGUGCAGGUCUUUCACUUUUUUGGUUAGUGUUACCCCAAGAUAUUUUAUGUUGCUUGUGGAUAUUGUGAAAGGGGAUGUUUCCCUGAUUUCUUUCUCAUUGGAUUUAUCAUCUGUAUAUAGUAGAUGUCAUUGUUUCUUAACCCUGAGUAGUAUUCAAUUGUGUAAAUGUACCACAUUUUCUUUUUCUUCAGUUGAGGGGCAUCUAAGCUGUUUCCAAUAUCUUGCUAUUACAAACAAUGUUGUUAUGAACAUAGUUGAGCAAAUGUCCUUGUGGUAUGAAUGUACCCACUUUGGUUAUAUGCCCAACAGUGGUAUUGUAGGGUCUUAAGGUAGGGUCAUCCCUAAUUUUCUGAGAAAUUUCCAUAAUUAUUUCCUCAGUGGCUGUACAAGCUUGCACUACCACCAGCAAUGGAGGAGUAGUUCCCCUUUCUCCACAUCCUCUCCAGCAUAAGGUGUCAAUGGUGUUUUUGAUCAUAGCCAUUCUGAUCAGUGUAAGAUGGCAUCUCAGAUUUGUUUUGAUUUGCAUUUCCCUGAUGACUAAGGAUGCUAAGCAUUUCUUUAAUUGUUUUUCUGCCAUUUGAGAUUGUUAUGUUGAGAAUUUUCUAUUCUCUAUUGUACCCCAGUUUUAACUGGAUUAUUUGGUAGAUUUAUUUCUAGUUGCUUGAGUUCUUUUUGUAUUUUGGACAUCAGCCCUCUGUCAGAUGUGGGGUUGGUGAAGAUGUUUUCCCAUUCUGUAGGGAGCAGUUUUGUCUUGUUGACAGUGUUUUGUUUUUUUGUUUUGUUUGUUUUUUUUUGUUUUUGUUUUUGUUUUUUCAGACCGAUCUUAUGCAGGCAGUUUCUCAAUUGUUUCUUCCUUUGAGAUGACUCCAACUUAUGUAAGGUUGACAUAAAACUAGCCAGAAUACCAACUAUUCUCUCAACUUUGAGAAUGUUAGUUUAAUGUUGAAGAGGAUUCUUCUUUUUUGAUACCUGGACUUGUAUCUUUUCAGACUCUAAGCAAACAUUAAACAUGUUUAAUUUUCUCAACAGUUCCAUAUAGUAACCUAGCUUGUUCUGGACUGUUCUUCUCCAUUAAGCACUUAUUUCAUCUUUCUGUGUUGUACCUGCCUCCCCAUAUUUGUCUUUGAUUGAAGGUUCACAGGAGCCAUGAGUUGUUCAUUAAACUAAAUUCUCAAGAACCGAAACUACAAAAUAGAAGACGUUUGUUAAUAUUAUGUUGAGAUAAAUUACUUAUUCCAUUUUUUUCUUUAAGAAAAUAACAUAGUAACUGAGAGUUCUUGUGUGUAAAGCAAAAAAGACUGAAAUUUAAAUCCUAGACCUGACACAUAUUAGCUGGGUAAUUUCAGGAAAGACAUACAUGGCUUUGGUUUCUGGUCUUCCAUUCAGGUGUCUGUAAGAAAAUGAAGGGUCAAUACAGGGCUGAGAGGAAGUUUAGGAUAUUUAUCUAAGAGAAAGCCUUCCAUGAAAAAUAUAAGACAGACUCAUUACAACUGAAUGACACAAGCAACCCAAUUAGAAUCCACAAAUGAUUUGAGUAGACAUUUCAGUAAUUAAAGAAGAUUUGAGAAUGGCAAAUCAGUACAGAAAGAAAUGUCACAGCUCCUUCAGAAUUAUGGAAAUGCAAAUUAAAAGCACAGUGAAAUUCCGUAAACACUUAUCAGAAUAGUUUACACUUAAGUAACAAAAUCCUUAAAAAAAAUUUCACUCAGUGUGUGAGGUAAGUACAGUUCUUACUCAUUGUUGAGAAAACAAAAUACUGUAUAGCUUUGCAAUAGUACAGCACUUUCAUAAAAAGUUAAAUAUUCAUUCACCGUGUACCUAGCUAUUCCAGCCCUGGCCUUUACUCAAGACACACUAACAUAGGUGUCAUGUCCAAGAAUAAAGAGAGUGGCUGUAAAACUUUACUUGUCAAAGUCCAAAACUAGAUACAUUCCAAAUGGCUAUCAACAGAUAGAUGAAGCAAAUAAGCCAAACCAAACAAAGGGCCAUUGUUGAAGAUCUAUUGAAUGGAUCAUAACACAGCAUAGAGAACUAAUAAUCAAAACACACAAACUAGAUUAGUAUGAAAACCAUUAUGUUUAGUAAAGGAAAUAAAAUAAAAAUGAUUCAUUCUCUAUAUUUUAUUCAUGUUGGAUUAUAGAAAAUACAAUGUACUUUAUUGUGACAGAAAGCAUGGCAUUACUUUCCCAGAGAUGACAAUGAGGAGAGAUGGAUGCAAAUGCACAGAAAAUGUUAACGCCAUACGUGGGGAUGUGUAGCUGUAGCCAGUUGUGUUGAUUCCUUGAGCUUUCAGGCCACCCACACUAAUCCUGACUUAGCUUCUGUGAGGGACCAUUUUCAAAAACUAAGGCUGAGAAGUGAUUGAGGAAGUCAUUCUGAUGUUACCCAUAUCCCCAAACACACCCAUACAGGUUUCUGAACGCCCCUAACACACACCAUAUACUACAACAGCAGUCCAACAGGUGCUUUUAUCAGCAAACAAAAUCAGACAAAUAAGAAAAAAAUUUAAGGUGAAAAAAUGUUCAUACACAAACUAUCUACCUGCUUGGAAUGUUGGGCAGGACACUGAAUAGCAAAAUCACAAUGUCUUAGUGAUAUAUUGAAUAACAAAAGAACAAAGAUCACUGAAGACUUGUAAAAAACACAAACCCAUUCACAGUAGUAGUCACAAUAAAGCUAAAAAGACAAAACCACUUUAUUUAGUGAUUGUCAGACUAAAAAAAGGGAAACAGUUGGAUAAAUGCUAUUUAUAAGGGCAUGAUUAUGCUGAAAUGAAAAGAGGUAGAAGAUGUUACACCAUAAAGUAUAAAUCAAAUAUUUAAUCUAUCUGCUUUAACAUCCAUCAAAAAGACCACCAAGACAAGGAGUGGCAUUUUGUUUGUUUGAGAACUUAAUGAAUACAUACAAUAUACUUUGAUCAAAUACUUUUACAUCCCAUCCCCUCCAAUUUAACCCUGUUGCCUCAUACUUUAUGUACUCUUUUUUAUCUUUGCAUCUUUUGUUGGUAUUUCACACAAUAUAUUUUGAUCAUAUGAUUUCUAUUCCUCCAACUCCUCCCUUCUUUAUCCAUAGAACUCAUGUUCUUUAUCUCUCUUAUAAACAAAAUAAUGGCAAAACAACAGCAACAACACUGAAUCUUGUAGUCCAAUUUGUGUUAGCCAUUGUGCCUGGUUACCAGGUGAAUUCUACCAAACUUAAAUAUAUUAAUUGAUUAUGACAACUUUAAAGGGGACUGGAGAGAUGGCUCAGAGAGUAAGAGCACUGACUGCUCUUCCAAAGGGCCUGAGUUCAAUUCCCAGUAACCACAUGGUGGCUUACAACCAUGUAUAACGAGAUCUGGUGCCCUCUUCUGGUAUGUAGGCACAACACUGUACAGAUAAUAAAUCUGGAAAAAAAAACUGCUGACAACAACAAAAAGACAACUUUAAGGUGCUUAAAGUAAUAAAAAAAAUUACUAAAUGAAUGUAAAGGUUGUCAAUUUCACUUGAAAGUCUUAGUACUUUCCUUUACUAUUGUUUUUUACUAGUCAGUGAGUUAGUAGAACAAACAGAAGCAUGUGGUGUUCCAGGUGUCAAGUGGUGGCACUUCAAGGAGCAGAAAGAUCAACUUUGUGAACUUUGCCUAUAGGUCUCAUAGCUGAAAAACUGGGAUUGACCAUUUAGGACAUGUCAGAUGAUCAACUGAAAAAGCCCAGCUGUGGUAAAAUGGGAGGAUAUAAACAUGACUGUUAAAAGUUAUCAAGAAGGAAGAUGGAGAAAACAUUGUACUGACAACUAUUUGGAUUCACACAAAGAACUCCAAAAGAAGAGAAAUAGACUACUAUCUUAUAAGGUAAGUUGGGUAAGCCCAAAAAAGAUUCUGCUUUUCUGGCAGCUGAGAUGUCUACUCUGUCUUAACACUUCCUGUGGAGCUGUGAGAAGACUCGUUGCUGCAUCUCUGGCACCCUCAGCCAAGCCCACACCACAUCAGUGACAAAGUGAAGACUUCACACUUACUGUAGACAGAAGUUUCUGUGUGUCCCUGAGGACCACAUUCCUUUGGACUCUGCUAAUCUGAAUUCAUAAGGAUGCCUUCCUUUAGCUGGUGCAGCAGAUGGUCUAUCCUCGGGAACUCUCCAUAUGCUACUAAAAUUGUCCAUACCAUGGUGGUGGAAAGAUGGAUCUACUGUUACAACAGGACACUGCCCUUGUAGAAGACAUCAUGAGUUUGGUCCCAGUACCUGCAAUGGGCAGCUCACAACCACUGUGGUUCCAAUCAAGAUCACUUGCCAUCUUCUGGACUUCUGAGAGAGCUGUACUCAUCCAUACACAUAUUCACACUCAGACACAUACAUAUAUUAAUUUAAAAUAAAA